AUGUAUGUGUAUAUACAUAAACAUAUAUAUAUGUGUGUGUGUGUGUGUGUGUGCAAUAUGUGUAUAGUGUCAACAUCUGGACAACUAACCCUGUGCCAAACUCUAGCUGUAGUCUCCAAAAUUUUUUUCUGGAAGAGUAGAUUAGUGUGUCACUUUAAGAAAAUAGAUACAAUGGAUGCCAAAGAAGAAAUUAAAAUUUUUCUUCCAUCAUAGUCAUAGAGCUCUGCUCAAUGCCCACUUUGAAGAACAGUUCUAAUUAAAGAAGAUGAAUUAAAAAACUCAUCACAAUUCUAAUAUUCCUUAAUUUGGAGAUGGAUAGUCUGAUGGUAAGAGACAAAUCAAAGAAAAUCUGAUAAUAGAGGCUGCUCCAUAUCUAAACUGAAGUUAAAAGAGACUUCAGUACCUUUGACGUUUUCUAGCGCAUAAGGAUUAGUUGAGAGAAUGAGCUCAAAUCAAAAGCUUGAUUGAGUGUGCAUGAUAUCCUUGAAGAGCAGCAAAGAUAUUGAUCAGUAAACUACUGGGAAAGACCAGUGUGGUAUAUGUUGGUGACUUUGACUAGAGUUAAUAGCAGUAGAAAAGAUGAGAAAUUUUGGGCUUGAAAUGUAUUUGUAAAGUAGAGACAGCUGUUUCUGCUGGUGAUUAGAGUUGAUAUGUGAAAAGUAGAGACCCCAAAUUUUUGGCCUAAACUGCUGGAUCUGUUCUGCUAUGGGUGAGAUGGGCAGUAGCAUAGAGUAAUAACUUUUUACCUGAUACACAUUCCACCAAUCUUAGUAAUAGACCGUAACAUUUAAAAAUGUUUGGAAAGAUAUAUGGGGAACAGUGUCUGAGAAAUUUGACACCUAAGCACCUGUCAAACUCUAGCUUCAUAGAAUUUUUCUUUGAUUUCCCAGCCUGAAGUAUCUGGAAAAUGAAUGUUUCCACCUUUACCUCACUGCACUGCAACCCUCUGGUUAUAAUUACUUUACACUGAUUUGUGUGAUUCCUUCCAAUUCUCUUUAUGCCUAUUUUUCUCAUGAAUAUAAUCAAUGAUUACUUCAUUUUUAAAUGCCCAGUACUGUUUAUGUUUAUACUCUCCAGCAAUUUGUAUUUUGUUCUUAACAAGUUAUCUGGAUAGAUUUCUGUGAAAGUGUGUGUGCGUAUGUGUGUGUGUGUUAUUUUGGUUAAUCACAGCAUUAUCUUUUACAGAGUGAAUAUAAUUUAAUUGUUCCUCAGCACUAAACACUAAAAUGUAACUUCAGUGGCUAUCUUGUUUAUAUAUCUUUAUGUAUUUGAAUUGGAAAUUUUAUAAAUAUAGAUGCAUGGGAGCUGAAGUUUGGCAUCAAAGGGUACACAUUUUAACUAGGAAGGAGCUUUCAACUCACCAACCAGAAGAACUUGGCACAGAACUUUUCCCAUCAAAUGUUUAACAGCUUUCUUGUCUAUUCAUGUAGAGCAGACUGAUCAUAACAAACUUUAAAAAAUAUUUUUCUUAUCUGUGCUGGGAGAAAUAAUGAUUUAUUUGUAUUUCUGUGGCUUCUACUGAAGUUAAGCAUCUUUUCCUUUGUUUCUUAGCCUUUUGUGUUUCUUCUGUGAACUCACUGUUGAUAUAAAUUGUCCUUUAAUAUUUGCUAUUAACUUGAAAUAAUUUAAUUCUUUACUAUUAUGGAGUCAUUUCUUUUUUAGAUCUUCCAAGAAGCCUUUAUAUCAGUUCUUUUAAUAUGCAUUUUUUAAAAUAGCAAGAAUAGAAUAAAUAGAGGAAAAUAGUUGUUCCCUUGUUAACCUUAUUAUUGAUAAUUGAUCUUACGAUUUAUGAAAUCAAACUGAACAUGAGUUUAUUCUGGUAUAUGUGAAAUAAAAUCACCUACAGUACUUGGAUAUUGCUGAAAAUGUAUUUUCUUCAUAACGAAUUUUUUAUAUAAGGAGAAAGGCCAAAGCAAGAUCUAGUGCCCUGUGUAAAUUAUAAAAUUCUAAAUGAAGUAAUACAUUUUUAAAAUUGCUACUAUGUAAUGGAUUCUUAGAAACAUGAAAGAGCUUAUACAGUCAUCCAACGACACCAUAUUUAUAACCAGAAAUUGUUUGAUUAUUGCUCAUAUUACUUUUUAAAGAUUGAUGUUUUCCUAAAAAAUAAUAUGUCAAUGUAAUUUUAAUUUAUUUCUGUCUGCUUGCAAGAUUAAUCAUUUUAUUUAAAGCCCAGAAUAAUAUAAAGCUGUACUAGUUCCUUUAAAAAACUCCAAAUAGUGAAUGAUACAUGAAAGUCUAUAGUUAGUGGAGGCCACAGUAAUAUCUAUUCUAAUAAGAAAACUUCAAUUCAUUUUUCUAAAUAGAUAUUUAGUCAUGACUGUGAAUUGGUGACUUUAGUUGCGUGCUAGGUGUGUGUAUACUAUAAUACUAUAAAUACUAUAAUUAGUAUUAUAUUUACCAAAAAUGACAAAACACACUUAAUGAAAUUAAGGCAAAUAUUUCCUUUAAUAUGGCAAAUAUAUAUAUAUAUACACAAAUUAUAUCUUAUGAUUAUAUAUAUUUAUAAAUAAUGGCAUAUGUACCAAUUGCUUUCAGUCACAAAGAAAUGUGGUUUAUUUUUCUUUAAUUGUACAUUCUAAUUCAGGCUGUGGUAUAUGAAAUUAAAUCGUUCAUCAUUUCUCUCUGUAUUAUAAUAUUUACUUCCUUCCCCCUGGCUUUUGGUACCGAUCUGAAAAAUGUCCUUUUGAACACCUUCUUUACCAUACAAAAAUAUCACGUUAUAAUCCAUACUUACCUACUGUACAUUUCAUCCCUGUGAUUAAUUUAUUUCAUAACUGGGAGUUUGUACCUCUUAAUCUCCCACACCUGUUUCACUUAUCUGCUCAAUCCCUUCCCUCUGGCAGCCACCAGUUUGUUCUGUGUAUCUGUGACUAUUUCUAUUUUGUCACAUUUGUUCAUUUGUUCUGUUUUUGUUCAUUUGUUUUAGUUUUUAGAUUCCACAUGUAAGUGCAGUCAUAUUGUAUUUGCCUUUUUCUGUCUGAAUUAUUUCACUUAGCAUAAUACCCUCCAGGUCCACUCAUGUUGUUGAAAAUGGAAAGAGUCCACUCUUUUUAUGGCUGAAUAAUCCUCCAUAGUGUGUGAGUGUGUGUGUGUGUAAAUAAUAUAUAUAUGGGAUAUAUAUAUAUAUACACCACAUCUUCUUUAUCCAUUUGUUCAUUGACAGGAAUGUAGGUGUAUCUUGGCUAUUAUGAAUAACUGUGCAAUAAAUAUAGGGGUGCAUGUAUUUUUUCAAAUUACUGCUUUGAUUUUCUUUGGAAAAAUGCCUAGAUGUGGAAUUGUUUGAUUUUAAAAUGGUUUUAUUUUUAAUUUUUUGAGAAAACUCCAUCCUGUUUUCCAUAUAGUCUACACCAAUUUACAUUCCCACCAACAGUGUCAACUGUUCCCUAUUCUCUAUAUCCUCACCAAUAUUUGUUAUUUAUCAUCUUUUUGAUAAUAACCAUUUGAAAUAUGUGAAAUGACAUCUCAUUGUGGUUUAGAUUUGCAUUUCCCUGUUGAUUAGUGAUAUUGAGCAAAUUUUCGUGUUGGCCAUGUGUAUAUCUUCUUUGAAAAAAUGUCAGUUCAUGUCCUCUGUCCAUUUUUAAUUGGGUUGUUAUGUUGAUGGAGUCCUUCAAUCUCCAAAUCUUUUUAGUUUGAUGUAGUCCUAUUUGAUUAUUUUUGCUUUUGUCUCCAUUGCCCAAAGAGACAUAUCCAAAAAGAAAAAAAAGAUUGUUGAGACCCUAGUCAAAAAGUAUACUGUCUAUAUUUUCUUCUAGGAAUUUUAUGGUUUCAGGUCUUAUAUUUUAAGUAUUUAAUCAAUUUUCAGUUUAUUUUUAUAUAUGGUAUAAAUAAAGUAUUCCAAUUUGUUUCAUUUACAUGUAGUUGUCCUUUUUUCUUUCUUUCUUUUCCUUUUUUGUUUUUCAGUCUUUUUAGGGCAGGGCUGGGCCUGUGGCAUAUGGAGGUUGCCAGGCUAGGGGUCAAAUCAGAGCUACAGCUGCUGGCCUAUGCCACAGCCACAGCAAUGUCAGAUCUGAGCUUAAUCUGUGCUCUAUACUGUAGCUUAUGGCAACACCAGGUCCUUAACCUACUGAGAGAGGACAGGGAUCAAACCAAUGUCCUCAUGGAUACCAGUUGGGUUAGUUAGCACUGAGCCAUGAUGGAGACUCCUCCAUUUUUCUUAAUAUCAUUUACUGAAGAAGCUGUAUUUUCCUUAUAAUAUAUAUAUAUCCUUGGCUCUCUUAUAAUAGAUUAAUUGACCAUACUAUUGUGGUUUCAUUUGGGAGCUCUCUAUUCUGUUCCAUUGAUCUCUGUGUCAGUUUUUGUGCCAGUAACACACUGUUUUUAUUACUAUAGCUUUGUAAUGUAGUCUGAAGUCAGUGUGCAUGAUACCUGCAGUUUGGUCUUUCUCAAGAAUAUUUUGGCUACUCAGGAUCUUCUGUGUUUCCAUAUGAAUUUUAGAAUUAUUUGUUCCAGUUCUGUCAAAAAUAACUUUGGUAUUUUGAUAGUGAUUGUGUUGAAUCUGUAGAUUUCCUAGAGUAGGAUGAUCAUUUUAACAAUAUUAAUUCUUCCAAUCCAUUAGCAUGGUAUAUCUUUUCAUUUGUUUGUGUUCUCAGUUUAUAGUUUUCUGAGUACAAAUUUUUACCUCUUUAAUUGGAUUUAUUCCAAGGUAGUUUAUAUUUUGAUGCAAUUGUAAAUGGGAUUGCUUUCUUAAUUUCCCUUUCUGAUAGUUUUUUAGUGUAUAGAAACACAAUAGAUUUCUAAUAGAUUAAUUUUUUAAUAUACAGAAAUCUAUUGUGCAACUUUUGCAUUCACUGAAAAAUCUAACAGUUUUUUUUGCAAGUGUCUUUAGAAUUUUUAUAUAUAUAUAGUAUCAUAUCAUCUAUAAACAGUGACAGUUUUAUUCCUUCCUUUUCAAUUUGGAUUCCCUUUCUUUCUUUCUUUCUUUUUGGUUUUUCUUCCUUCUGUCUGAUUGUUGUGGCUAAGACUUCCAAUACUGUGUUGAAUAAAAGUGGCAAGAGUAGGAAUAUUUAUCUUGUUCCUGAUCUUAGAGGAAAUAGUUUGGGUAAACUUUUUUAUACUAUGCCAAGUACUCAUUUGGAUUUUUCAAUUUGGAAAUUCAGGUCUUAAAUUUUGAAAAAUAUCUUCAAAUUAUUUUUGAUAUUUUUUACUAAUCAUUUUUCCCUUUUCUC
rnacentral:lncRNA from 9 species